GAUGAAGAACGUAGCGAAAUGCGAUAAGUAGUGUGAAUUGCAGAAUUCAGUGAAUCAUCGAAUCUUUGAACGCACAUUGCGCCCCUUGGUAUUCCAUGGGGCAUGCCUGUUCGAGCGUCAUUUGUACCUUCAAGCUCUGCUUGGUGUUGGGUGUUUGUCUCGCCUCUGCGUGUAGACUCGCCUCAAAACAAUUGGCAGCCGGCGUAUUGAUUUCGGAGCGCAGUACAUCUCGCGCUUUGCACUCAUAACGACGACGUCCAAAAGUACAUUUUUACACUCUUGACCUCGGAUCAGGUAGGGAUACCCGCUGAACUUAAGCAUUUCAAUAAGCGGAGGA
rnacentral:misc_RNA from 1 species